rnacentral:rRNA from 1 species
UACGUAGGGUGCAAGCGUUGCCCGGAUUUAUUGGGCGUAAAGGGCGCGUAGGCGGCCCGGCGCGUCCGCGGUGAAAGCUCCCGGCUCAACUGGGAGAGGUCCGCGGAAACGGUCGGGCUGGAGCAAGGUAGGGGGUCGUGGAAUUCCCGGUGUAGUGGUGGAAUGCGUAGAGAUCGGGAGGAACACCAGUGGCGAAGGCGGCGACCUGGACCUGUGCUGACGCUGAGGCGCGAAAGCGUGGGGAGCGAUCCGGAUUAGAUACCCGGGUAGUCCACGCCGUAAACGAUGCACACUAGGUGUCGGGGGUAUCGACCCCCUCGGCGCCGCAGCUAACGCAUUAAGUGUGCCGCCUGGGGACUACGGCCGCAAGGCUAAA